GACGAACGCUGGCGGCGUGCUUAACACAUGCAAGUCGAACGGAAAGGCCCUGCUUUUGUGGGGUGCUCGAGUGGCGAACGGGUGAGUAACACGUGAGUAACCUGCCCUUGGCUUUGGGAUAACUUCAGGAAACUGGGGCUAAUACCGGAUAGGUGCUCCUGCUGCAUGGUGGGGGUUGGAAAGUUUCGGCGGUUGGGGAUGGACUCGCGGCUUAUCAGCUUGUUGGUGGGGUAGUGGCUUACCAAGGCUUUGACGGGUAGCCGGCCUGAGAGGGUGACCGGCCACAUUGGGACUGAGAUACGGACCAGACUCCUACGGGAGGCAGCAGUGGGGAAUAUUGCACAAUGGGCGGAAGCCUGAUGCAGCAACGCCGCGUGCGGGAUGACGGCCUUCGGGUUGUAAACCGCUUUCGCCUGUGACGAAGCGUGAGUGACGGUAAUGGGUAAAGAAGCACCGGCUAACUACGUG
rnacentral:rRNA from 1 species